UUUUGUUGAUUGAACUAAAAACUGCACCAAUUACUGUCUAUAUUACCCAUUCCUUUGAGAUAAUUGGAGUACUUAGUUGUGGGUGUUACAAGAUGAAUCACCUUACAUACUCCCCCAUCUCCUCCUCAUACUUAUCUUCUCAGGAUUAGCAUGUGAUUAUGUAGUAAAAGGAGGAGCUUGAGCCAAUGGGGCAAGGAUCCCAGAACACUGGUGCCAGAAGAUGAUUCGUUUAAACAAAUGUGAGUCACAGAAAUGUUAUGAGGAGUGCUCUAAAGAACAAUAUGGCGGUGGAUAUUGCAAGGGUGCCACUUGCCUCUGCACAUACUAUUGUAAAGAUCCCCCACUCUACUAAUUACCAAUCCUUCUUUCUCUUAUGCAGUUCUGCUUCUUCCCCCUACUAUGGAACGUUUUUACUACUACAUGGUUUACCAACUUUCUGCCGUAUGAGCAAUUCAAAUUAAACAAGAAAUAAUUAUGAGCAAUGGCAAUGCUAUAUAUAUUGCUAGGAUUUAAUUUCUAAGUUUUUCUUUUAUUAUACUAUUAUUAUAUCAAUAAAAAUGGUUAAUUUUCACA